GUUUGGUUUUGACGAUUUACUAACUCUUGUUUGUUGUUAUUUGGGCAUUAGUAAACCCUGUAGACUAGCGGUAUCGAGGUGUGUAGUGAAUGUGUUCUUUCCCAAGUGGUUGAGGGUUAUACUAAAUUUAAUGAAGCUGUUGUAGAGAAGGUUGAAUCAUUAGUGCAAGAUGCUAUCUCACAGCAAAAGUUGUUGUGGGUGGUAAGAGGCAUAACCUAUGGUUGACUUUUUAUGGGCCUACAAUUAUUAGUGAUGUCAAGAAUGAGAUGCUCAUAGCAAGGUAAUCUCAAAACAAUUAUAUGGAAGGUAUUACUAUUAUUUAGGUGGCUAUAAUAUUAUGUUGUAGGUAAGUUGAUGUGUAUUUGACUAGCACCAAUAUAUACUAUUACAUACGGGAAAUAUUUGGACAUGUUACACCUGUUAUACGAUUUAAAACAGAAGAAGGCUAUACAGAUUGCUAAUGACACUGAUUCAGGUUUUUAUUAUUUUAUAUAUGAUCCAUAUAUUGGUGUCUGAUCAUUUGCAUCUUUUUAUUAACUAGGUAAGAUUAAGACAACUUUUUUUUAUAUAAACUGUGCAGGAUUAGCGGCUUACUUGUUCACAAACAAUAUUCAGCGUAGCGUUUAUGGCGCGUGUCUGAAGCUCUUGAAUAUGGUCUUGUUGGAAUAAAUAAUCAUGUGUCUUUUUCACAGGUAGCACCCUUUGGAGGUGUUAAGCAGUCUGGUUUAGGUCGGGAAGGUUCUAAAUACGGAUUAGAUGAGUAUCUUGAGGUAAGUAUCAAACACACCAUUUGGUAUAUAUGUGCCAUACUCGUGAGCCAUCUUUAUCAUUAUAUAUUUUAAUACAUAUUCACAAUUUGGAAAGAGAAAAAAUAGCCAGUUAAAACCGCCGAACCAACCAAUUUGGUGUGUCAUUUCCCAAAACCGUUGUUUGCAGUUCGGCCCAUAAUUUUUGUCAAAACCAACUAAAAUGGACCGUGAACACCCCUAAAUAGAACACAAUCACACCAUAAGCUAUGCUAAAACAUGAUUAAUGUUUUGCAGAUCAAGUGCAUUUGUAUGGGAAAUAUGGAUCACCCUUAUACAAACACACACUUUUAGUUUGGAUGUUUGGAUUUGGAUAAUUUAAUUUGAGUUAUAUGAUGCUUUGAUUUGGAUGUUUAUUAUGCUGACCAUUGGAUGUAUAAAUUUUUACAUUUUAAUGGAAUGACAACAGCUUAUAAAUUGUUAUGUUUUUAUGAAAUGGAAUAACCGAAUGCAAAUGGAAUACCAUAAAUGGUAGCAAAACGGUGGUAAAAUGUGAUAAAGCGGUAGCAAAAAGGUGACAAAAUAGCGGUAGCAAAAUGGUGACAAAACAAAAUGUGGUAGCAAAACGGUGACAAAAAGCGGUAGCAAAAAGGUGACAAAAUAGCGGUAGCAAACGGUGACAAACAAAAUGUGGUAGCAAAACGGUGACAAAAAGCGGUGGCAAAUCAAUGGUAGCAAAAAAUAAAACCGUAGCAAAUAGGUGGCAAUAGGGCAUUUGCUAAGUUGCUUUUGUCACCGAGUUUUUAGUAGCAAAACAAUGGCAAAAGAGCAAUUGCUACCGUUUUGCGACCGAAAAUGUGGUAGCAAAUACCUUAUUCUAGUAGUGGUGAUAAUAAUGUAGCUAAACAAAAAAGGUCGGUCAUAUGUAUUCUUGGUGAUGGAUUUUUUGUGUUGUUUUUCAGGAUAUUUUUUUGGUACGGUAAUGGAUUAAAGUUUUUACAUUUUUUUCAUUUAGAUGAUUAUUACACAUAUUUUUAUAAUUGUUACAAUAGCUUAUGAUAAAAGUACA
rnacentral:lncRNA from 1 species